GAGCAGAUUGCACUGCGGUACACGGAGGAGGGACCUGCCGCACAAAUAUAUCAUUCCAGGCGCAAAGGCACAAUUUCUGGGCUCCAGGCGGGUUAACACGCGGACCCUCUCCCCAUGUGCGACGCCGUUUGGCUUUGGAUACUUAAAACUAAAAUAACAUGAAUGGCCGUCUGCCAUUUCUUCAAAAUAUGACUUGAAAGCCCAAUUUAUUAGGGUUUCAACUCAACCACAGUCUUGUUAAGGCCAUUUCAACUUCCAUUCACCAUCAAAAUUGGUGAGAAAAGUAAAAUUAACCCUUAUUUCCAUCAAAAUCAACACCUGAAAACCAUUUUCACCAGCAAAUUCGCCUGCCUUUCCUCGAUUUCAACGGAGAAGCCAAGAGAUUGCAUCGAGGCAUUUAGCAAGGAUUUGGCCGUACAGUGGAGGUGUGCGCGCGAGGAGCCACUCGUGGUAGUUCCAAUUUCUGGCCUAUUCUGGCACAUUCCAGAAGCUCCUAGUGUUGCUGAGAAUUUUGGGUGUAUUGGGCCUCGAGGUUUAGGGCUAAUUAGGUUUGGGGACUUGGAAUUUGGGAAUCUGUUAUGUAAUUUGGGCUUAAGAAUUUUGGGGUAUUUGGUUAGAAAAUGGGUUUAUUAGAAUUGGGAUUUAAUUUUAUUUAAAGGGUUUUGGAGUAUUUGUUUAAUUGGGUUAAGUGUUUGUAAAUGGACUUUUUGGACUAUUUAUUUUUAGACCUUUAUUUGGGUUUAUUUAUUUACAAAUAAAUUAAA